AAAGGGAAAAUAAAAUGCGUAAUACACUAAAGUUGAAUAUUCUAUUUAUUUAAUUUUUUUGCGUUUGUGAAGGAUAAAAGAAAGUUAUAAAAUGAUUUGAAAGACGUUCAAUCCUACUUCCGGGGGAAGUACAAAAGAAGAAGAACUCGCAUUGUUUUGUUUUCGUCUGAGGAAGCUAACACUGCUAAGUUGCAGAGCUCAUCCUGUUAAAACACUCGAAUGUUUGCUUAAUCCGUAUAAAUUCUUCGGAUGAUCUCGAACCGGUUUUCUCUACACAUGUAUUUUUUAUUAUUAUUAUUAUUAUUAUCAUUAUUAUUAGCAUCGUCUCCGUGAUUGUUUAUUGCGUUCGGAAAGCUACUUCGUUAGAUAAACAAGCUAGUUAGUCGAGUGUAAGGCUAAUACGCCUGGAUUAGCAUUGUUCGUUUAUUAAUGUACGUUACUCCAUGUCGAGUAUUGUUCUAGAAAUCUUCCCUCCGUGUGUUUUUAAUACUUAUACCACGUUUAACACUUUUAGUCUUUUAUAACAAUUGAGGUUUUUGUUUUCAAGAUAUAAGAGGUGAGUUAUUUAAGGACGCGCAGAGAAAUCAGAUCGCAUUUUUUAUUUUAUUUUUUGCUUUUCUAAACUGGGGGGUGGAAAUUCUAGAAAAUGUGGGUUUAUAAUUCGUCAACGCGCUUUAUCAGACAUAAGUGGUGUUUUGGCUAGGUUUUUUAAAUGAUUUUAUAUGAAAGUUACAGUUUCGUCAUGUGUGUUCACCUUGGACCACCUUAAUAGGAUCCCCAUUCAAUAAACCUUUGUUAUAUAAUACAUCAGCUGUGUGUGUGUUUGUAAAAGCAUAUAUUAUUGGCUCUGUCUCUCCCUGCAGAUCAUCAGGAUGGUGUGUGAGUUGCUUCUGUCAUCAGUCUGGCUGCUGUUUGUAGUUUUCUGGGUGGAGACCAUCAGCGUGUGGCUGUUCCUCUGUCUCUUCUAUCAGGACAGAGCUUUCUAUCACUGGGGUGAUGGGGUGUUUGCUGAUGAUCCUGGUCAGAUGCUCUACAUGCUGAGCAGGUCGGAUCGUUCCGUUCACACCCAGACCUGAGCUCGCGGCUUCGUCGUCAGCUGGGAACGCCAAUCAAUCAAAGAACUGGGGAGGAAAAUGGCUUCCCGUCCGACUGCUGCCGCCUUUCAACAAUCUGCGCCGUGUCCAACGCUGGAGAAUUAGCACGGAGCUUGCGACCGAGCGCAGAUUCUGUGUUGGUUGUUAUAAAGGGAACUUGUAUCACAUUUCUCGCUUUAUCGCCUCUAAAAGGAGUUUCUCUUCUCAAAAAAAAAAAACAAAAAAAAAACACCCUCACGGCAGCUCGGUGUAGCGAUGACGCUAAAACGUAUAUCAUCUGUCUGACUCUGAUUUUUAAGCUCGUGUUCCUGGUGCCUGUGAUUGAAGCAAAUAUUUAUAUUUUAAUGUCCUCACUUUACAUCGUCUCGUUUAAGCACGUGCUUCAUAUCACAACUUGCUGUGGUUUACGAUAUUAUCGUGACCGUUUUGGUCUGCUGUGUAUUUCAGUCUGUCCAGUGGGAUGUGUGAGGUUUUCAGGAGACGAAGACAUUGAAUAUUUACGUAACUUUUUUUUUUUUUUUUUUUUUUUAAAUCAUUUUAGCAGUGAUCAUUAUGACAUGCAGCCUUAAACGCGAAGUUAAGAGAUUUAGGUGAACGAUACACAAUCACGUACACAACGUAACUGAAUGUACCCGCAAAGAUGCAAGAGGACUCCUUAAAAUCCAGUAAUAAACCUUAACAUUCCUCUAUCUAAAGGGACGAACACACACUCUUGUGUGUCCCUGGUGACCGAUGUUUGCACUAGUGCUAUAUAAUAAUCGCAAUUUUAAAAUACAUAUGUUUGUUUUAUGCUUAAUUUGUUAGUUUGCAUCUUUUAGUGAUGUCAUUUGCAAAAAUUUAAAAGUCAGCUCUUUGAUUCAUUUCUUUUAGGUUAAUGUCGAGUCGAUUCACUCAUGUAAACUUUAUUUUUUAUUUAUUAAAUUUUUUUUUUUUUACAUAGUUAAUUUGGAUGUUCAGUUUAUUAAAAUAAGUCUUUGUGAUCAGACAGUGCCACAAUAACAUUAAAGCAGCAAUGUUUA